UUAAUAAUUGGCUGCAAAAUUUACCGAUUUCCCAGUAUUUGUUUUUUAGAAGUAUAUUUUGAAAUAAUAUGGAAAUUUGUAGUUGAUGUAUAAUUAUUAUAUUAGUAAAAGCUGUUGGAAUCAAAACUUGAAAGAUGCUGUUAUUUAAACAAUGCUGGAAGUUGAAGAAGCUGAAGAAAAGAAGUUUUAAUUGGAUUAUUUAAC